UUGAUUAUGAAAUUGAGUAAUUGGAGGCUGCAAAUUGACUUGAAAAAUAUAUAUUUUCCUAGGAAUGGCUUAUGAGAAAUGAGUAUAUGUGGCUAUAUUUUGUGAGUGCAUUGGAAAAUUUAUGUAAGUUGUUUUUACUAUGCAGGCUGGAUAAAUAAAUAAAAGUCACGUUAUACUAUCGAAAUUUUAUUAAAAUUGGUGGG
rnacentral:lncRNA from 1 species